rnacentral:rRNA from 1 species
GGAAUAUUGGACAAUGGGCGCAAGCCUGAUCCAGCCAUGCCGCGUGCAGGAUGACGGUCCUAUGGAUUGUAAACUGCUUUUAUACGAGAAGAAACACUACUUCGUGAAGUAGCUUGACGGUAUCGUAAGAAUAAGGAUCGGCUAACUCCGUGCCAGCAGCCGCGGUAAUACGGAGGAUCCAAGCGUUAUCCGGAAUCAUUGGGUUUAAAGGGUCCGUAGGCGGUUUAAUAAGUCAGUGGUGAAAGCCCAUCGCUCAACGGUGGAACGGCCAUUGAUACUGUUAGACUUGAAUUAUUAGGAAGUAACUAGAAUAUGUAGUGUAGCGGUGAAAUGCUUAGAGAUUACAUGGAAUACCAAUUGCGAAGGCAGGUUACUACUAAUUGAUUGACGCUGAUGGACGAAAGCGUGGGUAGCGAACAGGAUUAGAUACCCUUG